rnacentral:rRNA from 1 species
CUACGGGGGGCAGCAGUGGGGAAUUUUGGACAAUGGGGGCAACCCUGAUCCAGCCAUGCCGCGUGAGUGAAGAAGGCCUUCGGGUUGUAAAGCUCUUUCAGCCGGGAAGAAAACGCAUGGGUUAAUACCCUGUGUGGAUGACGGUACCGGAAUAAGAAGCACCGGCUAACUACGUGCCAGCAGCCGCGGUAAUACGUAGGGUGCGAGCGUUAAUCGGAAUUACUGGGCGUAAAGCGUGCGCAGGCGGUUUUGUAAGACAGGCGUGAAAUCCCCGGGCUUAACCUGGGAACUGCGUUUGUGGCUGCAAGGCUAGAGUACGGCAGAGGGGGGUGGAAUUCCACGUGUAGCAGUGAAAUGCGUAGAGAUGUGGAGGAACACCAAUGGCGAAGGCAGCCCCCUGGGUCGAUACUGACGCUCAUGCACGAAAGCGUGGGUAGCAAACAGGAUUAGAUACCCUGGUAGUCCACGCCCUAAACGGUGUCAACUAGGUGUUGGGAGGGUAAAACCUUUUAGUACCGUAGCUAACGCGAGAAGUUGACCGCCUGGGGAGUACGGCCGCAAGGUUAAAACUCAAGGGAAUUGACGGGGACCCGCACAAGCGGUGGAUGAUGUGGAUUAAUUCGAUGCAACGCGAAAAACCUUACCUACCCUUGACAUGUCAGGAACUUUCCAGAGAUGGAUUGGUGCCCGA